GAGGGUUUAUUUUGGGGCUCUCUAUUCUGUUCCAUUGGUCCAUGUCUGUCCUUAUACCAGUACCGCACUGUUUUGACUGCUGUAGCUUUGUAGUAAAUUUUGAAACCAGGAAGUGUGAGACCUCCAGCUUUGUUCUUCUUUUUCAAGAUUGUUUUGGCUCUUUGGGGGCCCCUUGAGAUUCCACAUGAAUUUUAAGAUGGGUUUUUCUAUUUCUGCAAAAUAUACAGAUUAAAUUGAUCUGUAGAUUGCCUUGGGUAGUAUUGUCAUCUUAACAAUAUUGGAUGCCAGACAUUGUGAAUUUUACCUUAUUGGAUGCUCGAUAUUUUUGUACUACUAUAGAUGUGCUUAAAGCUUUUUUCUGGGAAGUUGUUACUUGGAAACAGUUUGAUCUUUUUGAGACUAGCUUUUAGAAGCCAGAAUCAAAGCAGCCUUUUAGUCUCAGGCUAAUUUCACUCUACUACUGAGGCAAAACCCUCCUCAGUAUUUUACCCACUGUCUUAUGAAUUAUGAAGAUAUCCCACUCAGGCUGUGGGAACGCAAACUAUCUGGUCCCUGUGUGAGCUUUGAAUCUUUUUUUUUUUUUUUCCUUUUUGCGGUACGCGGGCCUCUCACUGUUGUGGCCUCUCCUGUUGCGGAGCACAGGCUCCGGAUGCGCAGGCUCAGCGGCCAUGGCUCACGGGCCCAGCCGCUCCGCGGCAUGUGGGAUCUUCCCAGACCGGGGCACGAACCCGUGUCCCCUGCAUCAGCAGGCGGACUCUCAACCACUGCACCACCAGGGAAGCCCUGAAUCUUUUUUUUUUAAUAUAUUUUUUAAAAUAUUUAUUUAUUUAUUUAGGCUGUGCCAGGUCUUAGUUGCAGCAUGCGGGCUCCUAGUUGUGGCAUGCGGACUUCUUAGUUGCAGCAUGUGGACUACUCUGUUGCAGCAUGUGGACUCUUAGUUGUAGCAUGCACGCAGGAUCUAGUUCCCCGACCAGGAAUUGAACCCAGGCCCCCUGCAUUGGGAGUGUGGAGUCCUACCCACUGGACCACCAGGGAAAUCCCGAGCUUUGAAUAUUUUUCCCCUCCAGUCCUUUCAGGUGGUUCUUUCUCCAGCUUUAGGUAGUUUCUUUACAUGUAUUCACUAACCAGUACUCAGAUGGAAGACUCAAGGCGCAUCCUCUGCAUAUCUCCAGAGCUUUCUCUCUGUGCAGCCCUCUUCUCUCUAGUAUUCUGUCCUGUGAGUUUUAGCUACCUUGGCCUUCCUGGACUCCCAACUCUGUCUUCUCAGCUCACAAAGGCUGCUAGGCUCUGCUUGGAUUCCACCCCUCUGCACUGUGGCCUAGAAACUCUCUUCUGACAGUAUGCUAGGGCACUCAGCUUGUUUGUUUCUCCUCUUUCUGUGAUCAUUAUCAUGUGCUACCUGAUGUCCAGUGUCUGAAAACUAUUGUUUAAUAGAGUCUGUCCAUUUGUUGUUCUUUGGGCCAGGAGGGUAAAUUAUUCCAUCUUGGCCACAAGUGGAAGUCCCCUCUGGCUUUUUGUGAGACUGGGGUGUGAGAUUUCAGAAGUCCUAUUUUUCUGGGCAAUGAAGAAGUCCAGGAUGUGGCUCUGUGAGUGGAGGCUGAAAUGGGAUGGAUAUCAAAGUUCCUGGAGUAAAGGCAGAAUAGGAACUGGAAGGCUGGAUUGUUAAAUGAGUCAUUCAUAUGGAUGCUCAACUGGCAAACUAGGUGGGGGUGGAACUGGCGUUACAGAAAGAAGGAGGAGGAUGGCAAAGGGCCUGAAGGAAUAAAUUAACAGUGGUUUUGGAGAACCGUAAAAUAUUUCUUCUAGCUGGAAUAUAAAGUACCCAAGAAGCCAUGCCAGGAAAUAAAGUAGACCGGUGACUAUAUUUGAAAGGUGCUGUCUGCCAUACUGAAGAAUUUUUUUUUGGCUGUUCUGGGUCUUCAUUGCGGCACACAAGGCUUUUCGUUGCAGUAUGUGGGCUUCUCUAGUUGCGGCACUAGAACGCACGGGCUUAGUAGUUGCGGUAUGUGGGAUCUUAGUUCCCCGACAAGGGAUCCAAUCUGGGCCCCCUGCAUUGGGAGCAUGGAUUCUUGACCACUGGAGCAUCAGGGAAGUCCCCAUACUAAGGAAUUUGGAUAUUUUCUUGAAGGCAAUUGAGAAAGUCAAGAAAUUGGGAAGCCAGGGAGUCAGUUGGUCAUCCAGAUUAAUUCUGGAGUCGUCUAGCUGAUGACAUGGGGUAGGAAAGAAAACUGAUAACUAGAUUCAAACAUUCUUACUGAAUAAAGGAGGCUGGGAUCAUAGUUUUAAGGUUGUGUAGACAGUUACAAAACCAGAUGCCACAAGUCUCAAAGGAACAAAAAUGGUUUACCCACGAGUGGUGGACUUGGCAACAGGGAGCAAGGAGAAAGCUUCCCUCAUUCCCCCAACUCCUCCUCAACUUUGUGGUGGUCAGACUGUGAGAGAAGAAGCAGUCUCCUUCUGGAGAGGAGCGGGAAAGCAGGAGCCUCAGGAGAAAGCCACAAUCAGUUAAGACAAGGGCUGGAAGGAAAAGCUCAGCAAAGAAAGCCAGUGCGUAGGGCAGUUACUUUCUCCUGGAACAGGAGCUCCAGAAGGCACAGUGCAAAGGGCUCUGAGAAAAGCAAGUGGUGGCAAAAACAGGUUGCAGGUGUAUGUGGAGGAAACAGAGCAUCUGGGGCUCUAAUAUCAGUUUUCACCUCUUUUCCAGUCUUAGAAAGGUGGUGACACCUCCUCUGCUGUCAUUCUUUUUUUUUGUUUUGCUUUGGCUGCGUUGGGUCUUCAUUGCUCCGCGCGAGCUUCCUCUAGUUGGGGUGAGCGGGGGCUGCUCUUCGUUGCGGUGGCUUCUCUUGCUGCGGAGUAUGGGCUCUAGAGUGCAGGCUCAGUAGUUGUGGCGCACAGGCUUAGUUGCUCCGCGGCAUGUGGGAUCUUCCUGGACCAGAGUUCGAACCCCUGUCCCCUGCACUGGCAGACAGAUUCUUAACCACUGAGCCACCAGAGAAGUCCUGUCAUUCUCUUUUUUUUUUGUCAUUCUCUUUUAAUACCAUUCUUAAUGUGCCCCAUUACAACCGAUUUUAGUUUCACUUGAACAUAUUUCUAACGCUUACUUUGCUUUCUGUUUAAAAUUCAUGUGAUCAGAUUGGCAUGUCUCCAAGGAAAUACUCUCUCAAACCCUCAUGAAAUGUGCUCUCUCUGUAGCGAACACCGUGUUAUUCUAAUAUCUUAAGGCUUGGUCCAAAAGCCCAAAUUGCUUUCUCUGACACUGUCAACUCCUCCCCACUCUUCCCAGAGCCCUUCUUUCAGUUGGAUGAAGAAAUGGAAAUGCCCCCUUUUGCUCCCAAGGUCUUCAGCUUUUGCCCAAGCAUCAUUGCAGAGAAUUGCUUUGCAAGUGACUUGCCUCCUCUGAGCAGAUAGAGGUCAGAAAGUUUGAUAGAUUCUAUAACAUACUCCAGAUCCACAGUGGGAAGACAGCACCUCAUCCCCUUUCAAUAUUACUUGGCAUACAAUAUUUAAUUUUUGUAUAUAUAAUGUAUAGUACAAGAAUUAAAAUCUCCAAAAAUGUACGUGAUAAAGAGUAAGUUUCCCUUCUUCCUCUAUCCCCAAUUCACUUGCUCUCCCUAGAGACAACUACAGUUAUCAGUUUCUUGUUUAUUCUUCCAGAAAGAUUCUAUACAUUUAUCCACGUAUAUCCAUAUAUUCCUUUUUAAAAACCACAAAUUGUGGCGUAAUAUGCCCACAGUUUUGCACCUUGCCUUUUUCACUUCACACUAUAUCCUGAAGAUCUUUCUAAGUCAGUCCAUAGAGAGCUGCUCAUUGUUUUUGCAAAUGUGUAGUAUUACACUGCUAGCUAUACCAUAGUUUAUUUAACCAGUUUCCCACUGGCAGACUUUUCGGCUACUUCCAACUUUUUGCUCUUGCAAACAACGUUUCAGUGAAUAUUUUUCUACAUGUGUCAUUUCAAACAUAUAUUUAUAGAAUAUAUGUAGAAUAAAUAUAUAGACUAUAUAUAGAAUAAGUAGAUAUAGAAUGCAUCUCUUGAAGUGGAAUUUCUAGAUCAGACUAUGGCACUAUCACUUUUGAUUGGCCGUGAGGAGGCUUUUUCCAGUGAUAUCUUGAACACUGUGGCAGCAAGCCAUCCACUUCCACAAUCUCUGCUACUGCUGCCAAGGGCAACUGUUUCCACUUCCUUUUGUUUCCACUUACAGAAUCCUCCCUCUUCUUAUGUGGAGUAUGUGAUAAAACAUCUUGUUUAGUGGGUCUGUGCAAAGCCUUCAUGGAGAAUGCUUCAUAUAUGUGGUGUAAUGUGGCUGGUUCUACUUGCUUUUCUUUUCACAUUUUUCUACUUAUCAUCAUAACCUUGGUUAUGGAAACCCUCUGCUGACCUCCUGGCAUGUUCCUUCUCCUUUUCCUCUUUUUCCUACACUUCUUUCUCCCCUCCCCCUUUCUCUCCCUCCUCCUUGUUCUCCUUUCCCUUCUUCUUUUUCUCUUCCACUUCUCUCCUCUUCCUCUUUCUCCUUUGUGAUGUUUUUUUUUGUUGCUGUUGUUGCUGCGCACAGACUUUCUCUAGUUGCGUUGAGUGGGGGCUACUCUUUGUUGUGGUGCGUGGGCUUCUCAUUUUUGUGGCUUCUCUUGUUGCAGAGCAUGGGCUGUAGGCACACAGGCUUCAGUAGUUGUGGCACGCAAGCUCAGUAGUUGUGGCACACGGGCUUAGUUGCUCUCUGGCAUGUGGGAUCUUCCCGGACCAGGGCUUGAACCCGCGUCCCCUGCAUUGGCAGGUGGAUUCUUAACCACUGCGCCACCAGGGAAGUCCCUGUGAUGGUUUUUGAUUUGUCAGGUUGGCUAGGCUACAGUCCCCAGUUAUUGAAUCAAACUAAUCUUUGUAUCUCUGUGAAAGUAUUUUGUAGAUGUGAUUGAAGUCCAUAAGCAGUUAGCUUUAAGUAAGGGAGAUUAUCCUGGAUAAUCUGGGUGGGCCUGAUUCAGUCAGUUCAAAGGCCUUAAGCUGAGGCUUCCCUGAUGAAGAAGAAAUUCCUCCUGUGAACAGCAGCUCCAGCCUGUUCAGGGGUUCUGGCCUGCCCUUCUUGAUGGACUGCCCUACAGGUUUUGGACUUGCCUAACCAGCCCCCACAACUGUGUAAGCCUAUUUCUUGCAAUAAAUCUCUUAAUAUAUAUCUUCUACUGGUUCUCUGGUUGAACUCUGACUGAUACAUCCUUCAAAGUAUUUUCUCCAUCCAGUCUGGGAAGUCCUCAUUUCAUUGACAAGUGUAGGGAGGCACUCCCCAAACUCAUUUAUCUGUUCCUCAAGGGGGAAGAUCGACUUCAGUAAAUACUUACAGAGGGCCAUCGUUGCCUCUGAUUGGAAGGAAACCAUUCUUCAGGUGCCAGGAAAGGUUCCCAGUGUGAGGAACAGUGUGCUAGCAUUGUCAAGUGAACUAUUAUUGGUUGGUUGGUUGGUUGGUUGAUGCCAGACUGCUGUUAAUUGCAUAAAAAGAAAGUAAAAAUGAUUGAACAUAAAAGUGAGAGCGGGCAGAGUAUAAAAUAAAUAUCUAUAUGUCCAUACUGACAUAAAUAAACGAUUGACUGAAUAAAUAGAUAAAUAAGUAGAAGAGAAGAGGCAAAUCUCCCAUGCAGAAGAAUUUCAAAUAAUUUAUGUACGUACUCUGCCCUCAAGGAAGUAGAGCAUUAUUCUCUAUUUCUUAAGAUUGGGUAUGCACAGUGACUUCCUUUCAAAGAGUACAAUGUGCAAAAGGGGGAAAGGAGUAACUUUAUAGUGGAGAAAUCUGACAAAUGCUACCUCAGUCAGGCGAUCAAGUUCAACAUCAACAGUGAAAAUCGUGUUGAUAUUAUGUAUCACAGCUAUGAUGCAAUGAAAAUGGCACUUUACCUCUGUAGUCUUCUCCCCCAAACCUAUAAUCCUAGUCUAACCACGAGAAAAACAUCAGAAAAAUACCAAUUGAGGGACAUUCUGCAAAAUAGUUGACCAGCACUUCUCAGAACCAUCAAGGUCAUCAAAAACAAGAAAAGUCUGAGAAACUAUCAGGACCAAGAAGAGCCUAAGAUAAGACAUGAUGACUAAAUGUGAUGUGGCAUCCUGGAUAGGAUUCUGGAACAGAAAAAGGAUAUUAGGUAAAAACUAAGGAUGUCUGGGGACUUCCCUGGUGGCGCAGUGGCUAAGAAUCCGCCUGCCAAUGCAGGGGACACAGGUUUGAGCCCUGGUCUGGGAAGAUCCCACAUGCCGCGGAGCACCUAAGCCCAUGUGCCACAACUACUGAGCCCACGUGCCACAACUACUGAAGCCCGCGCGCCUAGAGCCCAUGCUCCGCAACAAGAGAAGCCACCGCAAUGAAAAGCCCGCCUGCCGCAAUGAAGAGUAGCCCCCGCUCGCAGCUGCAACUAGAGAAAGCCCACGCACAGCAAUGAAGACAAAAUGCAACCAAAAAUAAAUAAAUAAGUAAAUAAACCAAAAAAAACCUAAGGAGGUCUGAAUAAAGUGUGGACUUUGGUUAAUGAUGGCAUAUCAAUAUUGGUCCAUUAAUUGUAACAAAUGUAUCACACUAAUGUAGGAUGUUAAUAAUAGGGAUGGAUGUGGGUAUAUGAGAACUCUCUGUACUAUCAUCUUAGUUUUUCUACAAAUGUAAAACUGCUCUAAAAAAUAAAGUGUAUCUCUGGAGACAAUACAAAUAUCAGUGGUCGCCAGAGGUUCUGGGGAAGAAGGGAGAGGGGGGUUUAGGGCAGUGAAACAAUACUGUAUGAUACUGUAAUGGUGGAUGUGUCAUAUACAUUUGUCAAAGCCCCAAACCAUUGCAGGAGCGGCCGGAUGCUACAGGUGCCUCCAGCCAGAGCCCAAUAGGAAACUGCUACCGCUGCUGCUGCAAGAAGUCAACCUUGAAAACACUGGGAAUUCCCUGAUAGCAAAAAAUGGAAGCUCUGCGUAGAGCUGGUUUCCUCAUGGUGCUCAGUUCCGAAUCAGUCUCAUGCAGAGCUCCAAAUGGUUACAGCCGAGACCAGGUCCCCAGGUGAAGCGUCCAAGAUUCCAGGAAGACUGAGCUCUAUUUCCCUAAGUAUUAACACUUCAAAACGGAUAAAGCCCAGACUUUGGAGACAUCUCUAGGCUGUAAAAGCUGGAGACACAGGAUUUACCUGGCUCUUGGAAGGACAUGUUAACAUUACAAAAGGAGAGACCUAAGCAUGUUUAAGGAGAAGAGGCACCACAGAUUGAAAUCAAAGAGAGAAACGUUAAUUGAUGGAGCAAGUUUCUAAAGGAGAUGAUUGAAAAAGAUGGCACAUAGGGCCCAAGUGGAUGGGUGAUCUUGAACAGGAAGAUGGAAUGGAGACAAGGAUGAGUGUGAAUGUAGCUUUGUUUGGUGAAGAGAUUAGACACCUGGUGGAAACAACCAGGUGAAGGAGGGGAGAAGGGUGGUUGGUAGUACUAACACAGGGUGAGAGGUUUGUGGGGUGGUUUGGCAGACAGGAACACAAAGGGAAUUGAGGCUGCUGGCGAGAGAGUAGUUCUGGUGAUCAAGCAUGACAUUAAGAAAGGUUGGGAAAGGAAGGAAAAGAGGCCAGGAGGGGCUGGGAGACUGGGAGAAAAUGGAGGGCUCAAAGGACUGAAGGGGUCCAUAUGAGGUAAAAGAACCAGUGUCCUGUGAGACCCUUACUCCUGAGGAAGCAGGUAGGAGAGGAGCUUGUCUCAAAAUGGAAUACUGAAGGGUUCGAUGUUAGAGGUAAGCAAUUCUGGGCCUCAGUAAAGUUCAAGAUGUGGUGCUUUGAGUGCAGGUGGCUGAAACGGAAUGGAGAAGGUAAUUGAGAGAAUCAUGGGACCCAGAAGUUGCUGGUUCUGUCAUCUCCAUGGACAAUGAGAUCCCCUAGUAUGAGCACCAGGAAUUAGGGUGGAGUGGGAAAUCAUGGGCUGGGUGCCAGUAUCCUUACUUAAGGAGGGAGGAGUGAAGGAUAUAUAAGAAUUUUCUAGGCAGACUGGGAUGGAAGGAUGACCAUUCAAGAUAGAACAGAUUGGAGAAAGGCAUGGUUGGAUGUGUGAAACAGCCUGAUCUUUUCAGGAAACUGAAACCAGUAUGAGUGUGAGCACAGGGAUGUGCCAGCAGAUGAGGCUGGAUUAGCAGAUGGAACUGACAUCGGAGGCACAGCCACUGAGAGGUCUUAAGCAGAGCAUAGACAUCAUUCUGAUUUGUAUUUUAGAUUUUCUAAGGUUAACUGUGGAAAACUAGAGUCAGGUAGGGUUAGAAACCAGUUAGAGGGCUCUCGCAGUUGCCUGGGCCAAUACCAGGGAAGUGGCACUGGCAGAGGAGGUGGAAGAUGAAUUCCAGAGCUAUUUUGAUAUCACACGUGUUUUUGCAGCUCUAUACCGUUUCACCUAUUUUCAGCAUAUGCAGUAUGAAGCCUGGUAGCUUUAUCCUUUCAGUUUAUGCUUUUAUGGCCCAGCUCUUCACCCCAGAAGCAGCUGUCAGGACCUUUGAGAAUGGGAUCCUUAUCAGUUAUAUCUCCACUUUGCCCACUGGAUAGGGCAGGGGAUGCACUUAUCAAAGGCUUUUGGUCUCAGCUAAUUUACUUGUCUUUACUUGCUUUUUUCCCCCUUUACCAAAUCCUUCAGUUAGUCUGAGGCAAGAAUUUGAUACCUUGAAUGUUAUGGGAUCAGGCUGUUUCACUCUUUUUCAGUGCUCUGUUGCCUGGAGCACACAGGUGGCAAAUUGGAAGGGCUAGUACGGUAUAUGAGAGUUGAACUCAGUAUGUGAAGCUGGCUGACAGGCCCUAGUUAGUACUCUGCCUCCUUUUCAGGGUUACUCUGUCAUUUGUGGUAGGCAGAAUUCUAACAUGGCCCCCAGGAUUCCUGCCCACCUGGUGAAUACACACCUUCUCCCAGUUCUUUACUCAAAAACUAAUCUAGGUGCUGCUGUGAAGGGAUUGUGCAGAUGUAAUUCAGAUCCCAAAUCAGCUAACUUUAAAAAAUAGAUAUUAUCCUAAGGGAGCUGACCUAAACAGCUGGGCUCUUAAAAGGGAUUGGGCUCUUCAGUCAGAAAAAGACAAAUGCUGUAUGAUUUCACUCAUAUCUAAAGUAGUCAAGGGCUUCCCUGGUGACGCAGUGGUUAAGAAUCCACCUGCCAAUUCAGGGGACACGGGUUCGAACCCUGGUCUGGGAAGAUCCCACAUGCCGCGGGGCGGCUGGGCCCGUGCACUGUAGCCCAGCCUGUGCCCUGGAGCCCACGAGCCACAACUACUGAAGCCCAUGUGCCUAGAGCCCAUGCUCCGCAACAGGAGAAGCCACCACAAUGAGAAGCCCGCGCACCGCAACGAAGGUAGCCCUUGCUCACCACAACUAGAGAAAUCACGUGCGCAGCAACGAAGACACAACGCAGCCAAAAAUAAAAUAAAUAACUAAAUAAAUAAAUUUAUUUUAAAAAAUAAAGUAGUCAAAUUCAUAGAGAGAAAGUAAAAUGGCGGUUACCAGGGGCUGUGGGAGGGGGAAAUGGGGAGUUGUUUAAUGAAUCUAGAGUUUCAAUUUUUUUUAACAUUAAUUAAUUAAUUCAUUAAUUUAUUUAUAAUUUUGGCUGUGUUGGUUCUUCGUUGCUGCACAUGGGCUUUCUCUAGUUGGCGGCGAGUGGGGCUACUCUUUGUUGCGGCGCAUUGCGGUGACUUCUCUUAUUGCGGAGCAAGGGUUCUAGGCACGCGGGCUUCAGUAGUUGUGGCAUGUGGGCUCAGUUGUUGUGGCUCACAGGCUCUAGGACACAGGCUCAGUAGUUGUGGCCCAGGGGCUUAGUUGCUCCGCGGCAUGUGGGGUCUUCCCAAACCAGGGCUCGAACCCGUGUCCCCUGCAUUGCCAGGCGGAUUCUUAACCACUGCGCCACCAGGGAAGUCCCUAGAGUUUCCGUUUUGCAAGAUGAAAAAGUUCUGGAGAUCUGUUGCACAACAGUGUGAAUAUACUUAACAGUACCAAACUGUACACUUUAAAUGGUUAAGAUGGUACAUUUUAUGUUAUUUUUUAUCACAAUUUUUAAAAAGUGGGAGGGACUGGGCUCUUUCUGGUGAGAUUCAAACUGUGAGAGGAGUUUGACACGAGGGGGAUUCUCUGUCGCUGACUUUGUAGAUGGAGGGGGCCAUGUGGCAAGUAAUGUGGGUUGCCUCUACGAGCUGAGAGUGGCCUCCAGCUGACUGACAUCAAAGAUGUGGGAACCUCGGUCCUAUGACCAUGAGGAACUAAAUUCUGCCACAACCACAUGAGUUUGGAAGAGUAUCCUAAGCCUCAGGUGAGUCUGCAGCCUGACAUCUUCAUUUCAGCUGGUGAGACCCUGAGCAGAGGACCCAGGUAACCUGUGCCUGGAUUUCUGGUCCAUAGAAACGGUGAAAACAUAUCAGAAAAUGAGAGGAGUCUCCACAAGUACGCGGGCCUCUGACUGUUGUGGCCUCUCCCGCCGCGGAGCACAGGCUCCGGACGCACAGGCUCAGCGGCCAUGGCUCACGGGCCCAGCUGCUCCGCGGCAUGUGGGAUCCUCCCGGACCGGGGCACGAACCCGCGUCCCCUGCAUCGGCAGGCAGACCCUCAACCACUGCGCCACCAGGGAAGCCCUCUUCAAGAUUU